CUAUUCCGAAACAAGAAGUGAGUGCUUUGCAGAUUUUUUAAAAUAAUAUAAUUAGAAUGAAUGAAAUAUGCGAGGAUUGAUCUCCUGAGUUGUGUAAUUGUUUUAAAUAUUUUUGGUUCUUUUUUGCUGUUCUUGUGAAAAAGUUGGAUAAAGGAGACAAGGUGGUUGGUGAGAAGACCCGGAUCAUGUAUGCUUCUGUAUCAAGGACUUUUCUCAUACCUAGCCCAAGAUGAGCAGUUCUACAUACGGACAAUAUUAUCAAGAAACAUUCUUGUGGCAAGAAGCUCAACAAAAAUCUUAGAAAUUCUCAAGUCAAUCAUGCAUGCUCAUGUAUGUGGUAUGUCAGGCUUUGUUCAUAUAUAUCCCCACAAACGUGGUCUUAAGUUGAAUGUUGAUCCUAAGUAAGAAGCUUAGGAGAAUUCUUGUGUUACAAAUUUACAAUAUAUGGCUUUCAUAACUUGUGCAUAGCGAGUGAUAA
rnacentral:lncRNA from 1 species